CUUCCCUUACCUUUCCCUUCGUCGUCCCCUAACGAAAAAACCUAAGCCGCAUCUCAAAAUUUCAGUUCUGUUGUUCGCGUCCCGUUCUCCUCUCCUCACUUCGAACACUCUUUCUCUUCGUUCCUCUACAUCGCCAGCCACCACCUCCUUCAUGCCGACGCUGCUGGUGCGGUGGUUGCGAUGGUUAUUGCGUUGUUGUGGUUGAUGGUGUUGUCCUGCGUCCGUGCUCGGCUUUCCUCUAUUUGUCGCCGCCAAUAAUGGUGGCCACCAACACAACAUCAUUUGCAAUCUAUCACUAAUUGGUAAAUUGAUUUCAAUUUCUCCCUCAAUUGAUUUAAUAAGUUCUUGAUUUAAAAUCCCAAAACCCUAACUAAUCGAUUCAAUUUUCUUUUACCCCUGGCUUGCGCCGCGCGUUCUGGUUGUUGGGUGCAACGGCGCUCUAUCGUCUCCGCCGCCUCCUUGUUCGUUGGUGUGAAAGCUAAUUAUGUUCUUGAUCUCCCCUUCCCUCUCCUCCAUUGUUGCUGCUCGUUUCUAGCCCAAGGGACUGGAGAAGUAUGUCAUGACAAAAUUAUUUACUCGUGUUUUCGCUUCAUUUCCUGAUGAUGUAAAGAUUGAUGAACAGCUUUCUGAAAAGAUUGCUUUAGUUCAGCAAUUCAUCCGCCUAGAAAAUCUGGAUAUCAUGCCAACCUUUCAAAAUGAGUCAUCGUGGCUGGACUGAAGUUGAGACUGAUGACUGACAAUUUUGGGAACAGUUUACAGUGAUUGCCUGUGCAGAUUCUAGAGUUUUCCCUUCUAACAUUCUUGGAAUUCAACCUGGAGAUGCUUUCACUAUGCGCAAUGUGGCGAAUCUGGUGUUUCCUUUUGAGACUGGGCCCCCAGAGACAAAAGCCGCACUUGAAUUUUCGGUUAAUACUCUUCAGGUUGUAAAUGACUUGUUGAAUCCAGCCGGACAGAAUCUAUGAAUCAGAGAAGACCCGCCAUCAGGUAUAUACUCCGAGGAAUGCGCCUUAUGCUAGUGAGGAAAUUGAUAUGGUUCGUGAGCAAUGGGCUAUGUUUUUUACCAGCAAGUAUUUGUUAUUGGCCUGGGCGCUUGAUCGAGUUGGUUUAGAUAUAAUAGAAUAAUCUUUUAUAUUAAAAUGUAUGCGUUCGUUGAAAUUGGAACGUACAUAUAUUUAAAUGUAUGUGG